AAACGACUCUCGGCAACGGAUAUCUCGGCUCACGCAUCGAUGAAGAACGUAGCAAAAUGCGAUACUUGGUGUGAAUUGCAGAAUCCCGUGAACCAUCGAGUUUUUGAACGCAAGUUGCGCCCGAAGCCAUCCGGUUCAGGGCACGCCUGCCUGGGCGUCAUG
rnacentral:rRNA from 1 species